rnacentral:antisense_RNA from 1 species
CUUCAACGACCCCAGCCACACCGGUUCCGCGCGACCCUGCCCGUAGGUGGCCAGCACCGCGCGCGCCUC